UUUUUAAUUGUACAACUCAAUAAAUGUGCGUGUGUGUGUCUUCGUUUGUUAUAUAUUUUAUGUGUUAUGUGAUGUGGGUUUUCUUUAAAAUAUAUUUUUGUGUGUACCCAUUUAGUUUAGUUUUCAAAGAUAUACAUUACCACAGCCCUGAAUAAGUUUAAAAAUAAAUUAUAAAAUGGUUCUUACUAUGUAAAUUUUUAUAAAAUGGCACACCCUAAACUUAAAUAUGAAAAAAAACGCUAAAACAAAAUAAAAAUAAUAAAUCAAAAUAAUUGAUCAAAAUGCAAAAAAAUUUUAAAACAAGAGCACAUUCAAUACUUUCAUAAAUAAUUUCGUAAUCUGGGCAUUUGAAAACCCAGAAGCGACGUGCUGCGUUGACUAAUGUGGUCUAAUGUGCUAUUAAGCAAGCCAGGUUCGCCCACGUCAUGCACAGAUGCCGGAUGGUACCAGGACCAAAUAAAGAUGAUAGCGUGUGAUGACGAACGAUGAGUCCAGCUGUACAAGGCCGCAAUACCCCAGGUUGGGGAGGUUUGCCAUGCAGAUUCUGCUAUUGUUAAAUAAAGAAUACAAAAAACCGCUGACGAAAAGUGGCGGGGAGAUAAACUAUGGGUUUACAAAUGUGAAGGUCAUGACCUACAAGUCGGACGCCGAUGAAGUAAACCACUUGGCAUCGGAAACUGAGUGUGAAGUCGAGGAAAAUAAAAUGGAGUCCUCGAGUGACGUUGAAAAACACUGAGCAAGAUGAGUGUUCUUCACCUAGUCGGUGCUCCGCAGCAUAAACAUGUUUAUCUCGACAAUGCCGAGACAAUAAAAAAGAUAUAACAUAAACAAACACAAGGGAACCAUAUGCAUGCAAUACACAUGCAUUCAUCACUUAACAAUGCAAAACGUAUUUACCUAGUUUAAGAACUUACAGAUAAACAAACAUACCUAGUAUUAUCUAUGCAUACAAUGUAAUACACAUAACAUAUACACGCACAUUUAGGUAUAUUCUAAAAAUAAUAUAUAAGCAAUGAAAAUACUGAAAUAAAACCAGAAUGAAAUAGUUCUCACUCGAUGACGAUGUCUAUCAAUUUUAGUCCCUCACCAGAGUUAAUACAAUAUUGUUUAGCUCGUCAUCAAUAGAACAGAGGUAGUAUUUGCGGAUUGAAGACACCGGGAUAUAAUUUAUACAUGGCAAACUGCGAAUGGCUAAUGAAAAACUUAAUGUGUUCUUGUUACAUAGCUAAAGUAAUCAAUACACCACAGCAGUAAGCUGGGAGACGGGCAGUAACAAAUACAGAGUAUCUUAAUGAAACUCAAAGACCACCUCUUUCUAAUAAUCGUGUUAGUCUGAGAGCCAGUGGACGGCAGGGCAGACUGUAUGUAUUUUACCCAAGGUGAUAUUUUGCUAAGAGAUUCUCCUAUACCUAUCUUAUAUGAUAUCGGGAGUCACUAAGCCCAGCGAAGGUAGCUAUAACGUCACUAAGGUAAUACAUGUACGAAGUUUCGAAAGUAUUUUAACAAAGCUGCAGUUUGAUCAUAUUAAAAAGUGCAAUGAAUGGCAGAUUGUGAGUUAUAGCCUCGUGGUAGACGUUUUGAAAAUAAAAAGUAUUUUAACAUAUCUGAUUUAUAUAUAUAUUGCUUUUAAUACUCUUAAUAGCUUAUUCUUCGAACGGCAAACGUUUUCUCUGGUUGCAACAGCCCGGAAGACGGUAAUACAUAUAUUACUUACGUUAUAUCUGUUGGUCUCACUUGUUCAGGUCGCACCUGUUCUUUGUCCAGGAUAUUUUUGACCAUUUGUAAAAUGGAAAUAUUACCAAAUGUUUUUGGCACAAUUUUAUAGAUUGUAAAAUAAAAAAAGUAAAGAAAAUCUAAUUUCGGGUGUAACCGAACAUUUUAUACUCUCGCAACUUGCAAAGUUAAAAGCUGGGAAUACACUUUUGGGUGCUGGCAAAACACCUAGUUUCAUAACUUCAUUUUACUUACCGUCAGCAAAAAUUAUAUUAAAAUCAUGCUCAAAUGAGAUAUAUAUGACAUAAACUGAACCAAAGAGGCUAAUAUUAAAAUGUUGAGUUAAUGUGGUAAACGCUAACCAAAGGAUCGAAAUUCAUUGUUUUAGUGAUAUGAGGUUUAGACCAACUCCUUACUCCCAGAAAAACGCCUGGGCACUACCUUUGCCAUUGACUCAUACACUGACCCACAUAAUCGGCAUAUGGUUUGUUAGAAUAACGAAAAUCAUUAUAUGUAGAAUAUGGGAAUCGGGGUAAUUCGACCAAUUUCACACAUUUUCUGCAUUAAGGGGGUUUCUACCUUGCUAGCCCGAAAACCUGCGUUUUUUCUUGAAUUCUGAAUGAAUGGCAAAAUUUUCGCACAUUUGUCGGAAAAAGUUUAUUGUAGCUUUACAAAAUAGGGGGUACCAAACAAUAGCUGUAGGUCGGCGGCGAACCGUAGUACUAGAACGAAGGAGAAAACAUGAAAUAUGCAUCCAUUAUGAGCAUUUGAAAAUUUUUGGCUCCAUUUUUUUUGUUACUAAUUAUUUUUUUAAAUAAACAAUUUUAAAUAUUUUUGCACAAACUUCUGAUGAACAAGUGUAAAAGACUUCAUGGUGAUUGCUCAAUUUUUGCGCCCUGUAGGACUCGAGAACCUUAUCAACUAAAAAACGCGGUUUUGAAAAAACCGAGGUUUUUUUCAGGCCGCGUCGCAAAUUUUUAUGGUAUAUUCUUGCGAAAUGUAUGCAAAAAUAUGCAAUAAAAAAAAUCUGGUUUUUCGAUCUCACAAUAAAGAAACCCCUCUUAAACUAUAGUGUAUCCAAUUUUAUACGCUCAGUUAAUUUUGCUAAGAUAUCGUACAUGUUGACUUAUACAUUGUGUUCAUGAAAAUAGUAGUGCAUCAAGAACAUAUACGGACUUGAAAAGUCAAAAAUCGUUGUUAUAUUGUAAGAAUUAUGAAAACGAAAAAAUUCCGUUACUUUUGCUUUUCCGUUUUGUUUUUCUAAAAAAUAAAAUAACAAACAAGCGAAGAAUCGUGGGAAAAAAACCAAUAUUGGAGGACAUAUUGAUUAUACGAUAUGUACAAAACAAGCCCUAAGCAUCCUCAAAAAUGGUGAAUUUAAUGUUGUCAGUUACUUCUCUUACAAAUCAUAGGGGACUACUUGAAAACAAUUUGAAGAUAAAGAGUUCCCGGAACGUUAACUUCGGUUGCACCGAAGCUAUAAUACCCUUCACAAAUACAAAGGCCCCUU